AUACGUAGGUGGCAAGCGUUGUCCGGAAUUAUUGGGCGUAAAGCGCGCGCAGGCGGUCCUUUAAGUCUGAUGUGAAAUCUCGCGGCUCAACCGUGAGCGGUCAUUGGAAACUGGGGGACUUGAGUGCAGAAGAGGAGAGUGGAAUUCCACGUGUAGCGGUGAAAUGCGUAGAGAUGUGGAGGAACACCAGUGGCGAAGGCGACUCUCUGGUCUGUAACUGACGCUGAGGCGCGAAAGCGUGGGGAGCGAACAGGAUUAGAUACCCUGGUAGUCCACGCCGUAAACGAUGAGUGCUAAGUGUUAGAGGGUUUCCGCCCUUUAGUGCUGCAGUUAACGCAUUAAGCACUCCGCCUGGGGAGUACGGUCGCAAGACUGAA
rnacentral:rRNA from 1 species